rnacentral:sRNA from 1 species
CAGGACGUCGCGCAGGAAGCGCAUUGAAGAAAAGGGAUACGUGGGAUAGCUGCCAGGAUGGCAAGCAGAUCAAGGAUGUCAGCAAACAGUCUGCAAAAGCCCCGCAAUCGCGGGGUUUU